UAUCGGCGUAUCAAUAACACUUUCUAUUAGUGCAGAAGCACCCAACACCAUAUAAAGGACUACCCUCAGCAACCAAAGGAUGUAGCCCGACCGUAGCACAUGGUCGAGUGUACCACUUAGAUGAAUCUGAUGCCCUUUCUACUCCUGUCCUCAUCUAGGGUAUGCUUUCUAUUCAUAAUACUUCUACUAAGGCUUUGAUCGAUAUGGGUGCAACUCACUCUUUUAUUU
rnacentral:lncRNA from 1 species